rnacentral:rRNA from 1 species
GACGAACGCUGGCGGCGUGCUUAACACAUGCAAGUCGAACGGAAAGGCCCUGCUUUUGUGGGGUGCUCGAGUGGCGAACGGGUGAGUAACACGUGAGUAACCUGCCCUUGACUUUGGGAUAACUUCAGGAAACUGGGGCUAAUACCGGAUAGGAGCUCCUGCUGCAUGGUGGGGGUUGGAAAGUUUCGGCGGUUGGGGAUGGACUCGCGGCUUAUCAGCUUGUUGGUGGGGUAGUGGCUUACCAAGGCUUUGACGGGUAGCCGGCCUGAGAGGGUGACCGGACACAUUGGGACUGAGAUACGGCCCAGACUCCUACGGGAGGCAGCAGUGGGGAAUAUUGCACAAUGGGCGGAAGCCUGAUGCAGCAACGCCGCGUGCGGGAUGACGGCCUUCGGGUUGUAAACCGCUUUCGCCUGUGACGAAGCGUGAGUGACGGUAAUGGGUAAAGAAGCACCGGCUAACUACGUGC